rnacentral:rRNA from 1 species
GACAGAGGUGCCAAGCGUUAGGCGGAAUCACUGGGCUUAAAGCGUGUGUAGGCGGAACGUUAAGUGCCUUGUGAAAUCCCACGGCUCAACCGUGGAACUGCUGGGCAUACUGGCGAUCUUGAGGCAUUCAGGGGCGAGCGGAACAAGUGGUGGAGCGGUGAAAUGCGUAGAUAUCACUUGGAACGCCAAUGGUGAAAACAGCUCGCUGGGAAUGAUCUGACACUGAGACGCGAAAGCCAGGGGAGCGAACGGG